UGCGGGAGGUGGGGGAGAGGAGCUCGUUUUCACCUAGGGAAGACGAAUGACAGCCAUAGAAGAAGAGGCAUCAUCCUGUCUCUAAAUGGCAGGAGGACUUUGUAUAAGCCUUCCAGACAAUGGAAGCCAUGUGGGCGAAGACUCAGGAACCACGUACCAUCCAAAGGCCCGGGGAAGAAAUUACAGGGUCUCACUAUGUAGCCCUGUCCAUCCUGGAACUUGCUACAUAAACAUAAAAGACUGGCUUCAAACUCACAGAGAUUCACCUGACUGCCUCCAAACUGCUGGGAUUAGAGGCGUGUCCCCCAACAUGCCUGCUGAUAAAUUCGUCAGAAAGUAUAUCCUAAAGUGAACCAUUCAUCUCACCUGCUAUGCAAGACUUCAACUGCUCAAGUCUGGCCACUGUGAUCCAGAGCCUCCUCAUGGCUGCCUGAGGAAGACAAUCGCCUCCUGUUUGCCUUUGGAACAAGACGUAGAACUUGCAGCUCCUCCAGCACCAUGUCUGACUGCACAGUGCCCUGCUUCCUGCCAUGAUGAUAAUGGACUGAACUUCUGAAACUGUAAGCCAGCACCAAUGAAAUGUUUUUUCUUUAUAAGAAUUGCCUUAGCUGGGCGUGGUAGCACACGCCUUUAAUCCCAGCACUUGGGAGGCAGAGG
rnacentral:lncRNA from 1 species